rnacentral:tRNA from 1 species
AUUAAGUUAGUAUAUAAGUACAUCUGAUUUCCAUUCAGAAGGGCUCCAGGAAAUAGUUUUUAUUU